rnacentral:lncRNA from 1 species
ACUGAUUGUGCUUAUUCCAUCGUAAGUAGUUUCGUGCUAGUUGCUUAUCCUUCUUACAUCAUAACAUUAUGACCCUUUCCUCUCAUUCAGUGCCUUUUUUUUUGCAUUCAACCGGUAAGUAUAAUAGCAGUAUAUUGUUAUGCAACAAAAGAGUAAUCAAUGAAAAUUCCAGCGCCAAAAUAUUUUCAGGUCCAAAUUUUGAAUGCACACUGAUACAAUUUAUUAUAAAUUUUUCCGCCGCCAUCUCUCCACAAAAUUUGAGCAGUGCGUCCACAAGUAUGGACAAAGAUUCAAACAGAUCAAAGCAAAGAUAUCAUUUCUCCAUGCAAACAAAGAGCUUGGAAAGAAACAGAAUCUGCAAUAAGCAAAACUGAUUAGAAGAGGGAUAUUAUUAGUGCAAAUAUAUGUAAUUCAUUUCAAUGACCUUAAAAUAAUUUCUUUUCCCUACUUUUGAAGGUCAAGGACUCUUUCCAGUAGGUAAGAGUUGUGUAAAGGCCAACUCUUUACAUUGGUUAGUAUUCGAAUUUGAAGCAUUGGAGAUCGAGUGAUAGAAACGAAAUUCAGCAAGAACAAAUGAAAUGGCAGCCAAAGUCAAUCUGACCAAUCCAUGCAUAAACAAGAAGUGUAUAACGUUCUUCACCAAACGAUGUCUUAAAUUCUCUCCUAUGAUACACCUAUUGGGUACUUGAUGGAAGACUGUAAGGAAUGGAGACAGAGAGGGUGUAAGAGAAUCGCCAAAAUAGCUCUACUGGCAGUUAUCCAUUUAUUAUAAAGAGUCCUGAUCUCUGUGUAACGGUCAUUAACCUUAUCUAGCACAUAAAUUGGAAUUACCUAAAACUGCAGAAGCCCAGUAGGCAAGAAAAUUACUUCAAAUGGAUGUACCUUCCUUCCUUGCUAAUAGCAAAAAGUAACAUCAUAUAUCUACCAGAGUUUCGUAGUUCCUUCGAAUUUAUUUGCUAAUAAAUAUAUUCUCAUUUUAUCCUUAUUUCUGUUCUUCUUGUUCUUUUGUUUUCUUUCCUCUUGCAGCUCCUCAAGAAUAUCACUUAUUAGCAGAUGUCGACUUACCUUCUUGGUCAUCUCAACAUGCAACUUAUCAAAAUCAGAGUUGCCUCUAACAGCCCUAGCUAGAGCGUCUGGGAUUUCCGAAUGACCAUACCGAGGAAUUCUACUGUACUCGGUGCAACUACAAUUAUUGAUCUUGCAUAGUCUAUCCAAAGGUUCAAGCCAGAUAUACUAACUCCAUGAACAACCAAAUUGAGCAAUAAAUCAGUAGAACGAGAAAGAAUUGCAGUAGCCAUGAUGACAGUACUAUACCAAUUUUCAGAUCUCAAGAAUAUUCUCUCACCAUAAAAAACUAGUAGUAGUAGUAGUAAAAAACAGCUAAUUCUCACACUCUCCUCGUCCUUCCUCCCUACUGCGCUUUGAGAACUCUCUCGGACAAUAAGAAAAAGCUUUGCUUUCGGCACCUCCUAUUCAUCACUAUCACCAUCAACACUUUUCUCUACCUCCCACCACAUACGAUCUCGCGCACUUUAAUCACAAAGGCUUUUAUAAAAACAAAUACAAAAUAUUUUGAUUUUAAUUUCUAAAUAAAUAUUCCCCAGUUUGCUAGAAAAACAAUGAAGUUCAAUCAUUAAAAAGACAUGAAAGAGUGACAUAUUUCCAUUCUAUUAGACGUAGUGAAGAUCCAAUAAAUUAGAAAUUGAAAAUAUUAGUCGAUUCCAAAUUUCAACUAUUAAUUUUCUCGAGUCAAUUAUUCUUAGCAUGUCAGUCCUAACCGUUGUUUUGCAAGAAAAAUAAAACACAAAAAACAUGGUUACUUCAAACCCUUCAAUAAAAUUUACUUUUUCUGAUAAAGUUCCUUCACAGAAAAUUAUGACAAAAAUUUAUUUAAAAGCUUCAUGUCUCAACGAAAGCAUAUAAAUCAGAAAAUUGAUCACCUUCGUAUAACUAAUCACCAUCCUUCUAGCUAAAAACCAGCUUCUAAAUUCACCUGGAAAAUUAGUUUUAUGAUUACUUCCGAAACUAAUUCAACAUCUUUCUGAAAAAAUGAAAUUAAUGCCACAAAUGAUUUUGCUAACCGAAUGGGUAAUUUUAGUAACACAAAUGAUAUUUUUUGAGAAGAUCACGAAUUAUUUUAUUCUACAAUGUGGACAUAAUAAUAUGUAUGGACACCAAUUCCCCCCCCCCCCCCCCCCCAAACCCCAACGCCCAAACUUCAUAUGUGAAAUUCACAUAAGCACAUGGGAGGAUGUAGCGUUGUGAAGGAAGAUUAACACCCAAGUAAUUGUGUCAAAGAACAUAAUGGCAAAAAGAAUGGACACACACACCUCAUACCAAAGGUCUCAUCCAGGUAAACAUCAAAAGUUAUGCAGUUAUAUAAUUUCAGCUAAUUAUGACACCAAAUGCUGAAUUUGUUGAUAUGCAGUGUAACAGCAACUAUACCUCAAUCCGAAGUUACUUGUGGUCUGAUUCUGCAAUUUAUCAAGUAAAAAGAUGCUACAACUUUUCACGUCAAAGUUGAAAUAGAAGGUUACCUGCUGAGAAAAAAUACAAAAAAUGUGGAGAUAACAUGUACUCCGAGUGAGAAAGUUUCGAACUUUUAACUAACCUGAGCUCUCAUUAUGGCAAAGUUUUAAUCGUUUAUCAUUUAGUCGAAUAUAUGCAGUGGAGACUUCACUUUCCUUUUUCCUUAAAUGUUGAAGCAGUAGCCCACUUGAAGUAACUACAGUUUGAUUCAGAAUUUGAUGUAGGUCCCUGGAAGAGAAUAUAGAUUUUAAAGAGAAUUUAGCAAGAUAGAAGGAUUAAAAUACAACUUCCUAUUAGAUACAAAUUCUACCAUUUUGGGGGCUGCUACAUGAAAAGACUUGAUGAGACAACCACUCAUUCAUAUUGCGGAAAACAUAAUGAGUGCAAGCCAUAGAAAAUAUAGUUUUUAAAUAAAAAGAUGAUAUCCAGUUAAACAAAUUGGAAAAAAAAUGCAAGUCUCGGAAUCAGCUCAAGAGUAUUUUCCUAUGAAACAGAACGAAACACCAAAAUUAUUAUACUGAGAAAAGCCCUCAUCCUUUUCAUUUUGAUAAGUAAAGAAGUAACUUUAGUCAACAGUACCGAGAAAGUGCAAAAAUAAUUCUUUUCUUUACAAUGAUGAGAGAGCAAGAAAUUACACUGAAACUCCUGUAGCUAAGUAAAGAAGUCCUUAUACAAGUAUCCAGAUUAUGUCCGUUAUAUAAUUUAUCUAUUAACCCAAAUAUUGUGAAUAUCCCUCGUCAGGCACAAGCGCUAUCUUUUGCAUUAAUAGUAAAUAUUGACUGGGAGAAGGGGAUUGAUCUUGUAGUCAAAGCAACAACGCACGGACAAGCUAAAUGAACUCUCUUAAUUAUAAUGCAGCGUAUGCCAAUGCUAUUUUCAAUUGGAAUCCAGGAAACAAUUGUACACAUAUUUUGUCUUUUUUAUUUCAGAAUACAGAUAUUUCACUCGGCGCGCUAGUAAGAAAUUAGAUAUAGUAAAUUAAAUCUCUAAACUAAUCUCAACAAACAUCCCAACAUAUUAUGUAGUCAUUAAACAACUUAGAACUCAAGAAACAGGAAGCAAUGUAGUUUUAUGAUAAUUUUGCAUUCAAGUCACAACUUUAAAAAACACCAACUAACAAAACAAGUAUGAUGACUAUGUCGUACCAAUAUAACUAAAGACUUACCAUACUUACCAAUAGAAAAGAAGGAUAAAACCCCUAUAGGUAGGACGACAAAGAGGUCAUAGAGAAGUGAACGGAUCCUUAUAGUAAUAUUAAGGUGAAAUUGGUCAUAAAUUUGAAGAUAUAAGAACCAAACAUGACUUGUAAAGAAAAUGGAAGCUACAGACCGGAAAAACUCACACUUACUGUUGGAUAGUUUAAUUGUUCCCUAAUAGUAAUUCCACUUUGCAAUGCCUUAAAAAACUUUAAUUGUUGCACAUCAAUUUUCGUCUUCUUCUUUUUUCACACGAAGCAGGGGUUGAAUCAGUCGUCGUGGUCACCAAUCUUUCUUCAGUUCAAGAGUUACGCCAGUAGCGAAAUUGGACUCCAAAUCAUUUAAACAAAACUUAUAAGAACUGAGCUCAGAGAAGAAAAUCAAUAACCCAAAAUCCAUAUUUAAUGAAACUAAACGGUAAAGGAAGAAAAUGAAGGGGGAAUAAACAGCUCUCGCUUAGAGCUAGUAAGGUGCAUUUCCAAAGAAAGAACAACAUUACCUCAAGCAAAAACUUUUCAUCCUUGUAGGGAAAAACCGAGGCUUGAAGUAUCACCUAAAUAUCAUAAUUUGACACAUACCAAUGGUCAGAAAAAAGGAUUUUGAUACUUCAACGUUCUCUAGAACAGAUUAAUUUUGCAGUAAUUAGUUUGUACCAAAAGAGAACACUGACAAAAUGCCAUGAGAGGAUUUUGGUCAGUAAUUUUCUCAUGCAAACGUCAUUAGAGAAAUAAUCAGAAGAGACAUCAAAUAACAAUUGACCCAAAUACUGUCACAUAUGUAAGAAUCUAGCAAAAUUUUAGCCACAGAUAAUUUAAGUAAGAAAAGAUUACUUGGAGAAAAAACUUACCACAACAGAGAGCUAAAUUUGAGACAAAUUAGACGAAAUAAACAAAAUCUUAAUCUACAAAUUGAAUAAACUUUGAACAGAAUCCAGUAUUCCCUAAUCUAGUGAUGGAAACUUGGAUAUAUGAGAAAAGAAGGUGAAUUUGGGUAAAAGAGUGGGACUUGUAGUGAGGGACACGUGUUUGGUUUUCAG